CAGAGGAGUCGCCUGCGGAGGAGGACCGGCGGCGGAGCGCAGCCCCGGGGGCCAGAGUGGCCCUUGUUCAGGGGAGAGCCCACGUACCGCAGGAAUGUGCAGCUGAGAAGCACAUGCUCGGACAUUACUCUGCCUACUGCUCCUGACGGUUUUCAAGUCCUCUUUCAGAACAACUGCCGCGCCUUCGGACGGAAGCCUAUAAUUGGAUGCGAGCCAAUGACGCGCUGAAAAUAACCAGGUUAGCGCAAAGUACCGGUCCAUUUUGGGGAGGGCCCAGUCAGCGUGAGGGCGCAGCACCAUAUAUCACCUCCUUCCAGCUGUUUACGAAUAUCCUGCUUGGAUUUUUCUAUCAUGGCAAUAGUAGCAGCAGCAAGAGGAGCAGCCCUUUCCCCUUUUCUCUCCAGCUUUCCAGCAUGGAAACUGGAGGACUGCUCUGGGUGCUCGCAGGGAAUCUCACGGCGACGGGAACGCAGAUCUUUUUUUCUUUAAAGGGGAGGGAGGGCAGGAGAUAGGAGACUGGCAUAAGGCAAGACUGUUGCAUGUUUUUUUUUUCUUGGACACAGAGGAAAAAAGGACAGGCCAGGGGUUGGACUGUCCGACUUUCCCCCCUCCACCCACAAAAGGGAUAUUCUUGCACAAAUUUGGGAUGCGCCCAACACAAAGUGAUCACAUAUUAGUUGGGCGGCGGUGGAGCUGGACGGUGAAGUUAAACUUCAUAUCAAAGAAGCAGUUUCUGGCAGGCAGACAGACAGGGGGGGGCACUCAACCCGCCGGAUGGCCCCCAUCGGCUGCGGGAUGCUGACACCUGUCCGGAGCGCAGGCCUCAGUGGGUGGUGUUUUUGUGAGUGCUUCCUCGGUUUGAGGCGGAAUAAACCGGCAACCAAGGGAGAAGCUGAACCAAGCUCCAGAGCUGCUACAGAGCCCUGCUGAGACCUGCCAGGUCCACCGCUCUCUCUGCCAGAGGCCUCAGCUCCCAGUCAGAUCCUUCAACAGGCGCUCCAUCCAGGGGUGGUAGUUUGAGAUGAAGGCCUGGAUCCGCUGGAACGACCUGCCUGGAAAAACUGGUGGGAGUGUUUGUGACCAAAUGUCCUAAAGGGUGCAUAUGCUGAGGUGAUAAGCUCCACGUUAUUGAGGUCAGAAGCUCCCUUCCUACAAAUCAGAUCUGAGUCAGAACUCUUGACGGUUACAUCCAGCUAGAAGCAACAUUUUGGGAGGCACCACCAGAAGCAGCCGGCCACAGUCCACUGGGGAGCUUUAAAUUAAUUUAAUGUAUGCUAAAGCAAGUUAUCUGGGGCUCCUUCUGAAGAGCUGUGCAAAGGGCCGGUUUUCUGAAUGCUGAUGACUACCAAAAAAAACAAGGGGAGAACUUAGAAACUGCGGGCCUGUGGGGUGAUGACCAUACCUAUUUGGUGAGCUCAUAAAGCCAAAGAUAUAAUGAUAAAUGUUUUGUAGAAUAAAAUGCAGAUGUAGUCUGAUUUUGUUUGUUUCUGCUUUUAGACCAAAGUGCUUAAUAAAUAUCUUUUUUUUUUAAAG